rnacentral:rRNA from 1 species
GAUGAACGCUAGCGGCAGGCCUAAUACAUGCAAGACGAACGGUAAGUUGAGUAGCAAUACUUAGCCAAGAGUGUCGUACGGGUGCGUAACACGUAUGCAACCUACCCUAUACAGGAGGAUAGCCUAGGGAAACCUGGAUUAACCCUUCAUAGUAUUAUUGGAUGGCAUCAUUUGAUAAUUAAAACUGAGGUGGUAUAGGAUGGGCAUGCGUCUGAUUAGUUAGUUGGCGGGGUAAUGGCCCACCAAGACGAUGAUCAGUAGGGGUUCUGAGAGGAAGAUCCCCCACACUGGCACUGAGAUACGGGCCAGACUCCUACGGGAGGCAGCAGUAGGGAAUAUUGGUCAAUGGAUGCAAGUCUGAACCAGCCAUGCCGCGUGCAGGAAGAAGGCCUUCUGGGUUGUAAACUGCUUUUGCCAGGGGAUAAAAUUCCAUGCGUGGAAUACUGAAGGUACCUGGUGAAUAAGCCACGGCUAACUACGUGCCAGCAGCCGCGGUAAU